rnacentral:tRNA from 1 species
GCCUUCUUAGUUCAAAAGGUUAGAACAAUUGUCUUGUAAGCAAUAAAUUUCAGUUCAAAUCUGAAAGAAAGCU